UGUUUCUGUAUGUCCACAGGUGGGAAAUGCUUGCUUGAGGUUGGUGAAAGAGAUAUCCCAACUUCAGGGGAAAAAGGUCUUCAUUAUGGACCUCCAUAUACCCCCUACCUGGCUACCACCCAGGGGCUGUGACCCUCUGCUGAGUCUUCCAGUGGAUGCCACAGAGACUGUGCUGGUGUUCCCACUUUGGACUCCAGGG